rnacentral:rRNA from 1 species
GUGGGGAAUAUUGGGCAAUGGGCGCAAGCCUGACCCAGCAACGCCGCGUGAAGGAAGAAGGCUUUCGGGUUGUAAACUUCUUUUACCAGGGACGAAACAAAUGACGGUACCUGGUGAAUAAGCCACGGCUAACUACGUGCCAGCAGCCGCGGUAAUACGUAGGUGGCGAGCGUUAUCCGGAUUUAUUGGGUGUAAAGGGCGUGUAGGCGGGACAGCAAGUCAGAUGUGAAAACCAGAGGCUCAACCUCUGGCCUGCAUUUGAAACUGUUGUUCUUGAGUGUCGGAGAGGUAAUCGGAAUUCCGUGUGUAGCGGUGAAAUGCGUAGAUAUACGGAGGAACACCAGUGGCGAAGGCGGAUUACUGGACGAUAACUGACGCUGAGGCGCAAAAGCGUGGGGAGCAAACAGGAUUAGAAACCCCAGUAGUCC